rnacentral:ncRNA from 2 species
AUGAAGAUAUGGGGAGAGAUUACCGUAACGCUGGUAACGCCGAAGGAGUAAGCCGUAAAUCCGGUGAAUCUCUCAGGCAAAAGGACUUAUAUCGGACG